rnacentral:rRNA from 1 species
AUUGAACGCUGGCGGCAGGCCUAACACAUGCAAGUCGAGCGGAUGAAGGGAGCUUGCUCCUGGAUUCAGCGGCGGACGGGUGAGUAAUGCCUAGGAAUCUGCCUGGUAGUGGGGGAUAACGUCCGGAAACGGGCGCUAAUACCGCAUACGUCCUGAGGGAGAAAGUGGGGGAUCUUCGGACCUCACGCUAUCAGAUGAGCCUAGGUCGGAUUAGCUAGUUGGUGGGGUAAAGGCCUACCAAGGCGACGAUCCGUAACUGAUCUGAGAGGAUGAUCAGUCACACUGGAACUGAGACACGGUCCAGACUCCUACGGGAGGCAGCAGUGGGGAAUAUUGGACAAUGGGCGAAAGCCUGAUCCAGCCAUGCCGCGUGUGUGAAGAAGGUCUUCGGAUUGUAAAGCACUUUAAGUUGGGAGGAAGGGCAGUAAGUUAAUACAUUGCUGUUUUGACGUUACCAACAGAAUAAGCACCGGCUAACUUCGUG